rnacentral:lncRNA from 1 species
AUUAACGUCACACUUAAUAUUCAUUACACAAUCACAAGUCUUUAACAAAUAUAGAUCCAUAAGGUUAACAAUACUUUAUAACAUCUAGCGGUUCUACGUGACACGACCCUAGGUAGUGGAAUGACUGGGAGUGGAGGGCUACAAGAUGCCACUACCUACGUCAUAGCAAAACAAGAUAUGUUAGACAACAUGCUUACAAUGAUCACUUGUCUGUAAAAGAAGGUGAAGGGGCUGAGUCUCACAUAUUCAGUGAUCAUCAACUCCGUGAGUAGGGUGUAGAUGGGAAAUAAGCUAAAAGUAGAGAAUUUGAAUGUUAAAAAUGAAGAAUAUAUAAACAGCUUAACUUAAAAAGGGAUGUGUGCCUUACAGGUAAACCAAGAAAUUUAAUGCAAGAUAAUUAAUCCAAAUCAUCAUUAUAUACGUAUCAAAACCAUUUAAUAUACACAUGCAUGCUCUCGUCAAGCUAAACUCUUGGAAAACUUAUAAGCAAGUUCACAAAUCACCUCAUGCAUGAGGAGUUAAAACCACAUCAUUGUAUAAACAAGGAAGCUGUCGAAAAUCUUAUUGCUCUCACCAUGUGUAGGAAUAUGAGUUCGAAAACCCAAAGAGACUUUACUCUCGAGUAGAAAAUAAAAUAAAACCCGUGGACCCAUUUCCAUGUAUUAACAUUUGGGAGCCCCACUCCAUCGGAUCUUACAUGCCAUGGCAGUCUCAACGAUGUUGGUUGACAUAAGAGAAAUCAAGCGAUCACAACCCUGAAUAUCACUGGUGGCCUAGCCACAUAUAUAUCAUAGACCAUGGCCCCAACCAUGUCUAACAACCCGUCGGUGACCCAAGGUUUCUUUAGCUAGAGUUCACUUGUGCACAAGGGUCACACUUAACCGAAGUGACAACCGGUAUACUCUCGAAUCUCCCGAUUUAGUUAAACCAUUUAAAAAUCGAGUUACGUUUUCAAAGGCUCAUUUCAAAACCUUUAUAAGCUUUGUAAUAUAAAAUCAUUGCAUGAAGUUAAUGUAUAAAUUCGUAUGGUGAACAUAUGUUUAUUUCAUGAAUGCACACCGCACAAACAUCAAGGGACAAUUGAUAGAAAAUCAUGGUGUAAAGGCUUGUUUCCCAUUUAAAAAGCACUUUACUUAUCUAACUUAUAUAUAUAAUAUCAAACAUUUCCAACCUUCUAAAAACAUUCACAAAGUUCCUAGGAUUCUACUAGCUCAUGUUAUCCACAAAUUUGGGUUUAAAGUAAAUCAAUAAGUAUAUAUAUAUAUAGUUACGAGAAUUUUUAAAAUGGACACCCCUUACUUACCUCGCAAUAGCGGGAUGCUACAUCGUUAUUGAUUCAUGUGCGUAUAUAACUAAUCCUAUUUGUCGAUCACUCCUUACCUCGGCCAGCACACCACCACAGCUCACUUCCUCUAUUUAUACAUUUCCUAGCAACCAUUCAAACACAAUUCUCUUAUGUACUUGUGCAUGACAGCAAAUCAACAAAUAAAUUCUUAAAUCUUAACAUGCACAAUUCUUAUCCUUAUUUUCUUCCACAUUGCAUCCUUACAACAUCAAUGUCACCACCAAUACAAGCAUUCCUCCUAAUCUAUAACCAUAUAACAUAAACAACCAAAGAUUUGGCCACAACUUGCCUUACCUUUACUCAAUAAUUCAACUCGAGCUUAAAAUCAAGAAAUCUCACAUUCCUUGUGGUUCACAAACAUGCAUGGUUUCCUCUUACUGUCACAAACAUUUUCACAUGUUAUAAUCGGUUUAAAAAGCAAAUAUUCUAUCAAACUAACAAUUUCUACCUUCCUUACCUUGAAAUCUUUAUGCCAAACCUCCAAGCUCUCCUUGAUUCUCAACAAUGGCAUAUGGGUCGGAGGAAAAAGCUCUUGAUUUUUCUCUAAGUCUUCCACCCAAACCUUCCCUCAUUUCUCUCUUUUUCUUUCUUUCUUUCUUUCCUUUCUUUUCUCUUUUCUUCUUUCUUUCUUCCCCUUUCUCUUUCCUCUUUGGCUAUGGGCGGAUUCUUUCAAGUUGAGCCUUGAAAAUGUUUGGCUUUCCUUGUUUAUUUUUGCACUCAUACGGGCGGAUUGCCCAAUGUUUGCCUUUUUCCUUAUUUUUCUUUUCUUUUUUCUUUGUUUUCUUACCAUGGGCAGAUUGCCCAAUGUUCCAUAGCUUUUUGACUUUUUUCCCACUUAUUUUAUGGUAUAAAAUCACAUGGCAAAAGGCAUUGCCACCUUCCACCCACCACUCACAUUUCAUUCUUUAUUUUUCAUCAUUUUUCAUUUCUUUAUUUCUUAUACCAUUUUUACUUUAUAUCUUAUUUAAUCAUUUAUUGUCCCAUCCAAACCUCAUUCACCCCACUUUCUUCUUCCCUCAUUUGACCACCAUUGAACCAAUCACCUUUCAUGCAAACCAAUUUUUAAUCUUAUUCUUUCUUUUACUUUACAUGGUAGGGGUCCCACAUGUCUCUCACUAACUUUUCCUUUUUGCAUGCUAUGGUUGCAUUUAAUACUAACUUUUACAUGUACAUCACAUUUUCCACUUAGUCUAACCUUCCUUGGUUAGCAAAUUCCCCUUUUUAACUCUAAAUAUUGAAAUUACAAAUGAGUCCUCAAACUUUUUCUUAUUUACCAUGCGACCCCUCCAACUUUCAUCCUUUAUAAUUGGGCCAUUCCAACAUUUCUUAUGUCAUGACCCGAUACUCCCCUCGAGCCCGUGACAACCGUCGCGGCUUCCUGAUAGACAUUCAUUGCCCAAAAUGCCAACCAAAACCUCGCAAGGCUUUAAUAUCAGCUUUCGCACCUCCCUUGUGAGCAACAGCUGUUAAGUAUCAUGUUUUGAGAGAUUAUAAACUAUUUCCAAAUCAAAACAAUAGAAAAAUAAUUUUUUUUCUGACGGGCAUUUUGGUCAUUUUUUCUCAAAACUCUCGAAACUAGCUAAAAAUGUAGUAUGCGAGUGGAAAACACAUAUUUCAUAAUAAAAAUAAGUUUAGAUGUCUAAUACAUACAUUUAAAGUGAAACUAUACUUAUUUGAAUAUAAUAAAAAUAUUCAAUAAAAUAUUUUAUUUUCUUAUAAAACAAUAUUUAUAGAGUUACCGGUAAAUAAUUUUUGUAGCGUAAAAGCUAAAUAAAUUCAUACAUACUGUAAUACAGAUAACCAAAGCAUAAGAUUUUAUUUACAGUGACACGUGGACCGACGAACGACCAAAAGUAUCAAAAGCGAUAAACCUACAGUUUUUGAGGAUGCAAGUCCAACUGUAGCCCUCAACGAAAUGAGCUAUCUACCGACUAUCCUAAGUCUGAAAGGGGUGGAAAGGAGGGUGGUGAGAUUAUAUAAUCCCAGUGAGUAAACAAAUAUCAUCUAAAAUAUCUAAAGCCAAGUAAAUGGAGACAGACAAAAUAGAUUAGCAUAAAAAUGAUUCACAUCAUUUCGAACUCAUUUUAAUAAGAUAAAAUAGAUUCAUUUCAUCCAAAUAAACAACGAGGCUUAUGAUUUCCUGAAAAGCUUGGCUGGUGCCAAAAUCAUUCUCAUACUCAAUUAUCAGGGAUACCUUGGCCUAAGGCUAUCCUAAUCGAGUCCGCCAAGGCUGUUAAAAAGUUAUGUACGCAUAAAUCAUGUUUUUAUUUUGAAAACAUAGCCAUUCCUUGACGUUGGCUGAGUUCACCCUCAUGUGGUAGUUUGGAGUGAAGGUUGUACCUCAGGAGUUACCCUACGCACCUCCCCAAUCGAGGUAAGAAUAUAACAGGAUUACGUGCCCCUCAAAAAGGUUGGUCCACAAAACCCGCCCACUGCAACAAGUUAAACCCACCAUACAAUAAAAUUUGCAAUAGCAUGACAUAGAAAUUAUUUUAUUUUACAGCCUCUCAAGGAAAAUCAAUAGUUCAUACAUUUUCAGCACAUUUACCAAUUCAACCAUUCAUGCCAAUAUUAUCAUAAGCCAUUCAAUUCAAACCAUGAUUUAUAACACAGCAAUUAGUGUCCAAUUACUUCAUUUUCAAAACCAUCUUUCAAUUUCAAGACAAUUUUAUAAAAUCAUUUCAUUUAAUCACAUUUUUGCUUAUAAAACAUAAAGAUUUACCAUUUAAACUCAUUUUCCAUAAAAUCACAAAAAUGAAUUAAAAUUCACUUUAGAUAAUCAAGAUGAUGAUAAGGUUAUUCACUGUAUCAGGAGUUUGAAAUACUUCUAUUCUCAGUCCUCUGACACAACGUCUUUACCCUUGUUAGAGAGCUCACCACCUAUAUACAAUACACGACACAUAAUUCAAUAUAUUGUGUCAUACCAUUAUAAAUCUAUUUCAGACUCUUUACUAAUGCAUGAAAUGGGAUGUGAAAUGCUCGAGUAACCAUCUAAAUACGGUGUUCAAUAUAAGUUCAAUUGUGUACCUAACUAAAAUGGUAUCGGCCUAAUUCGAUCUAUCACCCGAUUAAUUGGCCAAUACGUCCAAUUCAACUCCAAAUAAUUUCAUUUUUCUCCCAAUACUCCAAAUCAUCAAACAUAAGUCAAAUAGCAUAAAAUUUAGCAAAAAUCAUCUUCACAUUUUCUCUUGGGAAUUUCGGCCAUGGUGGGUGCAUCAAUACUAUGAUUUUUCCUACUUGAUUUUCUCACCGUAAUUCAUCAUUUCCUAACCAAUUCACUUGAAAUAAAAUCAAAAUCAUCAUCAAUAUUCUACAUGGAGAAUUCGGCCAAUGAGGGUUAUGGAAGAACAUGAAUUUUUCUUGCUUGAUUUUCAUGCUACACAUCACCAAUCAACUAAAAACACUAGAAUAUCUUAAAAUCUAACCAAAACAAUCAUCAAAAUCUCUCUCUAAGUGUUCAGCCAGCAAAAUACCCAUCAUGAAAUCAUGUGAUUCAACCAUGAAAAAUGCAAAAGAAUGUAUGGGAAAGGUAGAUCACAAGUCAAAAUCAAGAAAUUUUACCUUUGAUUGCUUGAUACUUGAAAUCCACGAAUUUUCUCUUGAAUUUUCACUCUAGGGUUUUUGUUCUUUCUUUUCUUCCUUUGUUCGUGCUUUGGCCGGC